CGUGAUGGCGACCGGCGCACGGGUGAGUAACACGUAUCCAACCUGCCCUUUACUCGGGGAUAGCCUUUCGAAAGAAAGAUUAAUACCCGAUAGCAUAAUGAUUCCGCAUGGUUUCAUUAUUAAAGGAUUCCGGUAAAGGAUGGGGAUGCGUUCCAUUAGGUUGUUGGUGAGGUAACGGCUCACCAAGCCUUCGAUGGAUAGGGGUUCUGAGAGGAAGGUCCCCCACAUUGGAACUGAGACACGGUCCAA
rnacentral:rRNA from 1 species